GUGAGGUUAUUAAAGGUACGCGGACAGAGUCGCGUUAAAUCAGUUAAGUCGCUCUGCCGCUCUGGGCUGCAUGGUGCGGAGCUCUGACUGUAUAAACGAUGGACGACGCGACAGCACUUUCUCCCAUGGUGCAAAAAUGAAGCCAAAAUAUUCCCCUCGUGGAAGCUGCCAUAUUGCGCUUUUGGAGCCAGAGUGCGGAGGAGUGACUUGAGGUGGAGCGACUGCGUCACGCUCCCACCCACACACCCGCUGGACGUGACCGCAAAAGUCCACAUAAUUAUUACCAGCUACACCCACCAUGGGAGAAACUGGUGAGAGAGACCAUCAGGACCAAGCUGGGUUUCCUGGGUCUAGAGGUUUGGAGAAAUCCAGAUGUUCUGUUGACCCACUGAGAGAGGCAUCAUUUCAGAAACAUCAGAAAAAAUGAAGUUCAUCGCAGGGAUCAAGGAGGACCUCAUGAUCUUCACCACCAGCUCCCUUGCAGAGAAAUCUUCAGAACUCCACUGUAGGCCCACUCCAGAAGAGACCUUUGUUAAUUCUGGAGUUAACAUGAACAUGUUGGAUAUCUGUCUGCUUUCACUGGGUGGUACAGAGGUCUGAGUCUGAGGGGAGCUCCUGUAAUCACGAAGAGAACAGAAUCAUCACAAACUGAAAUAUAAAGUUUAUCUCUCAAAUAUGAAAUAAAGCUGAUCCUUCUUGGUCCUCACAGAGUUCUACUCUUGCAUUCUUUCAGUUCUACAGUUCUGCUGACAUACGAGCUGCUUAUUAAAAAAGGCCAAAGCCUUAUAUACCAUACAUACUAUAUAAACAACAUAUAUAAACAGAUUUUCCAAUAUAAUAUUUACCUUUGAG
ensembl:lncRNA